CGUGCCUAACACAUGCAAGUCGAACGGACGAGGGGAGCUUGCUCCCCGAGUAGUGGCGGACGGGUGAGUAACACGUGAGCAACCUGCCCUUCGGAGGGGGACAACAGCUGGAAACGGCUGCUAAUACCGCAUGAAACAGCGGGGAGGCAUCUCCCUGCUGUCAAAGAUUUAUCGCCGAAGGAUGGGCUCGCGUCUGAUUAGAUAGUUGGUGAGGUAACGGCCCACCAAGUCGACGAUCAGUAGCCGGACUGAGAGGUUGAACGGCCACAUUGGGACUGAGAUACGGCCCAGACUCCUACGGGAGGCAGCAGUGGGGGAUAUUACGCAAUGGGGGAAACCCCGAACGUAGCAAUGCCGCGUGAAGGAAGAAGGUUUUCGGAUUGUAAACUUCUUUUGUCAGGGACGAUAAUGACGGUACCUGACGAAUAAGCUCCGGCUAACUAUGUGCCAGCAGCCGC
rnacentral:rRNA from 1 species